UCGCAAUCCGCCAACCGGUCAAGCCGUGUCGCGGAAGGUUUUUCAACCCAUCGAGGUCCUGGAUACCAGGGCAAAAGGUGAGCG
rfam:Leptothrix cholodnii SP-6, complete genome.